ensembl:lncRNA
CCCAUUAGCAGUAAGGGCUGGGAUUGCUGAGCACUUAACUAUUUUUGACAGGUCCAGAAGAUUGGUUUUGUUACAUACUGUUUUCUCUCACUUCACUUUUGUAUUUGUUUUAAUAUUUUUGCUAAGUAAUGAGAAUGCUAAUAUUAGCUUGCAUGAAAAGAUCUCUGCUUCCAAUAGCUUAUAUUGAAUGGUUAUUUUGAUAGGAGAAUAACAAGAUGCUCUUGCACUACAAUUUCAGAUUCCACUUCUCAAAAGCUGAUGACGUUGAGAUUCAGGAUUCUUGCUGGAUUCUGGUGCUGAGGAGCUGCAGUUGGGUCCACUCAGAGCCGUCCUUUCUACUGGAGAAAGCUCCCUCCCCCCAUCCUCACAGGACAUGUGCAAAAGGCACCGUUAUCGUGGUGGCUCUGCACUAUCUUGCUCCAGUUUAUUGGUGCCUUUCCUGGAUAGGACAGCCCCAAACCAGAUGCAGUGCUCUCG